UCCUCACCACACUUCCUCCAAGGGUCACAACUAGGAGACAGAUGUAGUUCUGGGUGACAAGGCCUAGACUUCUCGUUCUUGAAUGAGGCCUGUGUGAUAGAAAAGGCACCACUCCGGGAAUCAAAGACCUGGAUCCCAACCUCAGCACUUCCACCAUCACCUGGCCGAAUAACUUCAAGUGAGUCAAUUCCUCAGAACUGAACUACAAGAGUUCCAGACUCAGUGCUCUAAGGACUCCAUUUCCCCCAUGGUGGCAUUUCGGAGAUAAGAUUCAAGCCUCAAAUCCACUUCCUGUGCAUACGACACUCUCUUUGAAUGGAUGAAUCAGUUAUUUACUCAUCUGCACCUUGGCUUCCUCAUUUUUCAGUGGUGGUGACUGCAGGACUGACCUCAGGAGCUAUUGUGAGGAUUAAACGGGAUGAUGCACGUGGAGCAUUUGGCAGGUCCCGGCACACAGAGAACCGUGGGUAGCUGGUGGCUAUUUUUGCUCUUGUUAUGUAUCACUCCAGGGCUGUGUGACUGGUUUGGUCCUGCAGCCUCACCAACUUGGCACAACUCCCAUGCUUUGUAAAAGUCAAAGGACAUUUCUCAGAGGAGACACUGUCUGGUGGAAGGAAAGUUUAAAGGGCUUCCCUUUUCCCGGUUCCCCCUGCCCUGACUCUAAUACCUCUCCUGGCUUCAGAAAGAAGAAACAGACUCCCCAAGGGCCCCAGAUACAGGGCUGGUAAUCCAGACCAUGCAAAGGAACCUGAACCCACCUUGUUGCCGCCAAUGUGAGUGCCUGGUGGAAUCAGGACGGAAGGUGGAUGUAUGACAAGAAGCGGCAUCCACAACCAGAGGAGAAACAUCAGACUGCUUCUCCUACUGACUGGCAGGGACACAUGGACACUGGAGAUAUGGAAAUGCAAAUAAGGAAGAAGAGGCACAGGAAACUCCAGACUGGGAGGUCACAGGUUCUACCCUGACCCUAUCUGUAAAUUACACUGGUCUUUUUAUCUUGUGUGGCAAUAAAGUA